rnacentral:lncRNA from 1 species
GGUUCCUUUAAGCAUAUUUAAUAUUUGAAUUCUCAUUCUUCUAUUUUCCCAGACCCCAGAAAACAGAGUUUUUAGAUGACCAAUAUUUUGUUCCAGAAACAUACAGCCUUAUCAGCUAAUUCAUAAAAGAGCUAUUUUACAAAGGUACAUCUGGAUAAUUAGAACAAUAAAGUCUUUUAGGCAUUUCAAAAUGUGAUCAGUAAAAAUACAUGAUUAUUAAUAAAGUUUUUUUUUUUUUAAGAUAGUUCCAGAUUUCUUUAAAAGUAAUUUCUGUUAAAGAGUAGUACAUGAUUGUACGGUGAACAAGGAAAAUAAAAUGCUCUAGUAGGAAGAGGCUGAUUAAGAGUGACCCACAGUGUGCACAAGUUACAUUCACGUCCUAAUAGCCAAAGAUAACCCAAGCAGUCCAAGUUAUUCAUAGCUGGUUUUAAAGUACACGAAAUAUAUGACUUCUAGGGCAGUGAUCAUGAUUUUAAAUUACAGCACUUUGGGGUUUAUUGAUUUGCCUUGCUGAACUUUGUUCUCUGAAAAGGAAAGAGACACCUCAAAUGUAAUCUGCCACUUAAUAGCAAGGGAUCCCUUACGGCCACGGGAAAGAGCACAGGGUCACGGCAGGUCACGAUAGCUAAAACCCGCUCUCCUGCUCUGGGAAGGUGGCUCUGUCCACCGCCCUUGGAUCUUUCCGCAUGGAAGUUGAUUCCAACUUCAGUCACCAACUUGGAGAAAACGGCUUUGAUGGUCAUCAGUCUCACCCAAAAAGAGAUUACCUAAUUCCAUUGUCCUGAAAGGCAGGUAUAGUAUCAAAGUAGGAUGGAUGUGAUUAUAAUGGACAAAAGGGAAAAAAUAAAAAUAAAAGGAGAGCAUGGGAGGCCAGGAUGAGGAGGAGGAGGAAGACAUGAGGCUGGUGAGAUAGAAAAGAAAACUCAAAAUCGUGGAAUCUUUUCAGAAUUAGACUUCACUUGGGGGCUUCAUUUGAAGAUCUAGAUACGAAUUUAUUUGGAGGUACUAGAGCAACAGUCAAAAUAUUUUUCCAGUUAGCCCUGUUUUUGUUCCAAGGAGAGGUUAAACUUCAGGAAAAGGAAAAGCAAACAGUUGCUAAGGACAAGGGGUUGGCUGAACCAGAAGAGAAACUAAAACUCUGCUAACGUACAAAUCUUCUUAAAUAAAUGAGUGCUAGGGAAUUAUUCAAUGACCCUGUACUAUCUGAAGUUAAGAUGAAAGUUCUAUUUGUAUUUACCUUUCUUCUGAUUAACUGCCCACUGAUGGUAUUAGUGUCAAGUAACUACAGGUACCCCUUUUAGUUGGGAGUGACUACAUUAUUUCCAGCAGCACAAUGUAACCAUUUGGUUUCUACUUGUUUCUCUUAAGAGAUACAGAAAGUUCAAGUCCCAAGCUUUACUUAUAUAUUAGAUUCUGCUUCUAAAUUUUUUAAUCCCAUUUUAAUUUAUACUUGGGCUAUAAAUCAAAAUAAAAUUCUAAUUUAUAGAUGAGGUCCAACGAUCCAAGUUGGUCUAUUUAAAAACACAGAUCACUUUUGGAAAGACAGAAACAAGAAUCUGGACAUAGAUGAGCUUUGCUAAGUUGUAGUGGUGUUUAUAAACACAGUUGGGAAUCCUUACCACUUAUGAUGGGGGGAAAUUUUAUAUAUAUAUUAUAUAUAUAUAAUGUAUAUAUAUAUAUUUUUUUGGGCAGAUGGUGAGCGGAUGGCAGGGAGAGCAAAAUUACAUCUUAACUACCCACAGAGUUCAGAGGGUACUACUGAAAGACAUGAGCAGUGAAUCAACUCCUUGUGUAUUAACAGAAUUGUAAUAUUUGACAAAUGAUUUCAUUUUUGAUUGGCAAAAAUACUUCAAAACACAUUAAUAUAUACCUGAUGCACAAAGAAAACCACAGAAAGCCAACAGAACUGAAGGGAGUUCUCAAGUUGCAGUUCUGAAACAUGUAUCCUCUGGAGGGUGCUGCCAGGGCUACUAUUCAUUCUAGAGCAGGCAGUUCCCAACGCCUUGCCUGCAGUAUCCAGUGUAUGUUCUGGUCUGCAAUUUUUAAGGUCAGUCAUGCACCAGUGUGGAAAAAGCUCCAGCAGUGAAGUCAGAGGAUGUGCUUCUGGAGCUGGCUGGAGCAGCUCUGCCUUCUCCACCGCAUCCUUCUCCACUCCACCCUUGGCUCUCUUCUCAAACUCUAAGAGCCCUUUGGCACCAUCAGUGCAAAAAUCAGAGUCAAACCUCCAGGUACUAAAAUUUUACUGGCCUUAUAAUCAGCAGUACCCGUGGCUCAUGAAAGCCAUUGUUCAACUCAGUAGUGAUUCAGUUACAUAACCUUCCCACACUCUCACCCGCUCC